rnacentral:rRNA from 1 species
AAACGAAGUGAAUUGAAAUAUCUUAUUAGCUUCAGGAAAAUAAAUCAAAAGAGAUUCUGUGACUAGUGUGAAUGAAAACGGAAUGGCCUAAAAAUUAAAAAGUAAAACGGAGUAAAAACCUGUUUGAAUAAAGGGGAACCUUCCUCUAAGGCUAAAUAUGAUAUAUGAGCAAUAGAGUAAAGUACCGUGAGGGAAAAGAAGAAAUAGUAGUUUUAUAAGCAGCUCGAAUAAAAAAUAAAAAAAAAAAUAAGAGCGUACCUUUUGUAUAAUGGGUCAGCAAGUUAAUACUAGAUGCGAGCUAUAAGCAAAGAUAAACCAGUUAUAAUAUAAUAACAAGUAUCUAAGAUUAGACCCGAAGCCUAGUGAUCUUACCAUGAUCAGGGUUAUAAAAGCCCGAACGGUUUAUCGUUGUAAAGAUAUCCGAAGAAUCGUGGUAAGUUAGUGAAAGACAAUACUGACUAGGAUAGCUGGUUUUCUGCGAAACCUAUAUAAGUAGGCAAUUUAAUUAACAUCAAGGCAGGUACAGCGAUGUAAUCUUAAUAUACUAUUUAAUAAAUUUUAUAUUAUUGCGGGGGCCUGAGAAUCCUACAAUUAAGUAUUUGCACUCGGAAGGGCUUUGAUGAAUAUUGGAUUGUCAGACAUAGUACGAUAAGGUUGUAUGUCUAAAGGGAAACAGCCCAGAACAAGAGUUAAUAAGGUUCCUAAAUUAUUGUUAAGUGAAAUUAAGGUAGUGUUUAUCUUAUUCGACCAGGAAGUGGGCUUAGUAGCGGCCAUCUUUUAAAGACCUCGUAAAAGAGCACUGAUUUAAUUAUUGAUUUAAUGUAGAUAAGGGCACCGAAGAUUUAACGGAUCUAAACAAUAUACCGAUACCUUGUCCAUAUAUAUAAUUAUAUAUGGGGUAGCAGAACAUAGGGCAAAUCUAAGAUUUUUUCUUUUUAAGAAUUUAAAACAGAUAACCCUAGAGAUAAUGCUGACAUGAGUAACGAUAAAGGGUAUUAUACCCUCGCCUAAAGCUUAUGGUAUUCUUAAUGUCACGGCCUCUAAGUUUAUAUCUUUUGUAUCGAUUAAACACAAUGUAUUUAUUUAAAUAAACUAAACAGAUGAUAAGUAAAUAUAACGGUUGUGUCUAUAGAGAUCCGCGUUUUUUAAUUUACAAAAAACUAAGUUAGAUGAGUUAUAAAUUAACGCAGGAGGUGCAUUAGCCUAAAGGAACAAAACGAUGAGAUAAUCAAAACCUAAUAGUAAAAAACCUUUUUUAAAGUAUUAAUUUUUAAUAUAAAAUUAGUGUAAAAGGUUCUGGAAAAACAUAGGAUUAAAUAUCUGAAACAUGAAUAUAUUGAUACCGUACCUAGAAACUACCCCUAGUAAGUUAGUAGAAAAUACGAAGGCGUUUGAGUGAACAAUCAUAAAGGAACUCGGCAAAUUAGCUCAGUAACUUCGGGAGAAGGAGCGCCACCUAUCUUUAUUAAUAUAAAGUAAAAGGGAGGAGGCACAUAAUGGUGUUGUACGACUGUUUAAUUAAAACAAAGCACUCUGCGAAGAAAAUAACUCGAUGUACUGAGUGUGAGCUCUGCCAAAUGCCGGCAGGAUAUAGUAUUUUGCUUAAUUGACUAAUAUAGAUUAGGAUUUGAUAGAAUCCCCGGUCAAUGGCGGUCUUACCUAUGAGGAUCCUAAGGUAGCGGAAUACCCUGGCCGUUAAAUGCGGUCUUGCAUGAAUGAUUUAACGAUACAACAACUGUCUCUAUGAUUGGCUCAGUGAAAUUGGAAUAACUGUGAAGAUACAGUUUACCUCUAGAUAGACGAGAAGACCCUAUGCAGCUUUACUGUUACUAGUUAUUGGAUAUAAUAUAGCGAGUUUUAGAGAAUAAGGUAAUUUAAAUAAUACAAUUGAAACACCUUUACUUCACUUAUUAUAUUCGGCUAUAUAUGACAUUUAUGUCUUUAGCACAUACCUUUUUAGGAACAAUUGCUGGUUGGCGGUUUAUGCGGGGCACAGAUCUCAGAAAAAGUAACUAAAGUUUAAUGGCUUAAUCUUGCUUUACUGUUUAACUUACACGUUAUUCAGUCGCGUAAGCGGGGCAUAUGAUCACAAGAUGCGGAAAGGAAAGGUCUUGGAUUUUUGAAAAAGCUACGCUAGGGAUUAAAUGUUAGUCCUCGAACAGGCUUAUUGCGCAAGAGAGUUCAAAUUGAGUGCGCAGUUUGGCACCUCGAUGUCGGCUUAGCUUAUCCACGUGAAUGCACAAAUCAUGAAGGGUUGGACUGUUCGUCCAUUAAAAAGCUACACGAGCUGGGUUAAAUACGUCGUGAGACAGUAUGGUUUCUAUCUUCUAGAGGAAAUCAGAGUAAAAUAAGGAUAGCCCCUUCGUACGAAAGGAUUUGGGUAUGUUAACCUCUGGUUUACCUGUUGUUUGUGUCUUAGUAUUAAUGCCAUAUAUUAUAUGGUAAUCGUCAGAUAACGAUGAUGUGAUCUAACUAAACACUAUAGGUUUGUUUUAGCACAGGCACGGCAGGAAGGCUAAGUUAGCUAAAGAUAAAUGCUGAAUGCAUAUAGGUAUGAAACUUACCUUA